rnacentral:rRNA from 1 species
GAUGAACGCUGGCGGCGUGCCUAAUACAUGCAAGUCGAACGGAGUACCCGAGUGAGUAAUCAUUUGGAAUUCUUAGUGGCGAACGGGUGAGUAACGCGUUGGUGACCUGCCCCGAAGAGGGGGACAACAGCUCGAAAGGGCUGCUAAUACCCCAUGUGAUCUAACAGGUUAGAGGCUGAUAGAUAAAAGACUUCGGUCGCUUCGGGAGGGGCCUGCGUCCCAUCAGCUAGUUGGUAGGGUAAAGGCCUACCAAGGCAAAGACGGGUAGGGGACCUGAGAGGGUGACCCCCCACAAUGGAACUGAAACACGGUCCAUACACCUACGGGUGGCAGCAGUAGGGAAUAUUGCACAAUGGGCGAAAGCCUGAUGCAGCAACGCCGCGUGCGCGAUGAAGGCCUUCGGGUUGUAAAGCGCUUUUCGGGGAGAUGAGAAAGGACAGUAUCCCCGGAAUAAGGUUCGGCUAACUACGUGCCAGCAGCCGCGGUAAAACGUAGGAAUCGAGCGUUAUCCGAAUUUACUGGGCGUAAAGUGCGUGUAGGCGGUUUGGUAAGUUGGAUGUGAAAGCUCCCGGCUCAACUGGGAGAGGACGUUCAAUACUGUCAGACUAGAGGACGGCAGAGGGAGGUGGAAUUCCCGGUGUAGUGGUGAAAUGCGUAGAUAUCGGGAGGAACACCAGUGGCGAAGGCGGCCUCCUGGGCCGUGCCUGACGCUGAGACGCGAAAGCUAGGGUAGCAAACGGGAUUAGAAACCCCGGUAGUCCUAGCUGUAAACGAUGUAGACUUGGUGUUGGUGGUGUAAAAGUCAUCAGUGCCGAAGCUAACGCGGUAAGUCUACCGCCUGGGGACUACGACCGCAAGGUUAAAACUCAAAGGAAUUGACGG